AGAGUUUGAUCAUGGCUCAGAACGAACGCUGGCGGCGCGCCUAAUACAUGCAAGUCGAGCGAGAAGACGUAGCAAUACGUUUGUAAAGCGGCGAACGGGUGAGGAAUACAUGGGUAACCUACCCUCGAGUGGGGAAUAACUAGCCGAAAGGUUAGCUAAUACCGCGUACGCUUCUUGGACUUCGGUUCAGGGAGGAAAGCGAUACCGUGGGUAUCGCGCUCUUGGAUGGGCUCAUGUCCUAUCAGCUUGUUGGUGAGGUAACGGCUCACCAAGGCUUCGACGGGUAGCUGGUCUGAGAGGACGAUCAGCCACACUGGCACUGCGACACGGGCCAGACUCCUACGGGAGGCAGCAGUAAGGAAUAUUGCGCAAUGGGCGAAAGCCUGACGCAGCGACGCCGCGUGGGGGAUGAAGGUCUUCGGAUUGUAAACCCCUUUCGGGAGGGAAGAUGGAAUGGGGUAACCCAUUCGGACGGUACCUCCAGAAGCAGCCACGGCUAACUUCGUGCCAGCAGCCGCGGUAAUACGAAGGUGGCAAGCGUUGUUCGGAUUUACUGGGCGUACAGGGAGCGUAGGCGGUUCGGUAAGCCCUCUGUGAAAUCUCCAGGCUUAACCUGGAACAGUCGGAGGGGACUGCCGGGCUAGAGGACGGGAGAGGAGCGCGGAAUUCCCGGUGUAGCGGUGAAAUGCGUAGAGAUCGGGAGGAAGGCCGGUGGCGAAGGCGGCGCUCUGGAACGUUUCUGACGCUGAGGCUCGAAAGCGUGGGGAGCAAACAGGAUUAGAUACCCUAGUAGUCC
rnacentral:rRNA from 1 species